UGCAUGUGAAAGUAUAAAGUCCAAGAAGGAUGAAACUGCGAACGGCUCAUUAGAACAGUUAUAGUUUCUUCGAUUAGUAAGUACAAGGAUAGCUUUGUGAAUGAUAAAGAUAAUAGUUGAGACGAUCUUGGAUGUAGAGACACAUACAGGCCUUUGCAUCAUAUCAUGCUGUGAAGAGAAAGGAUAUCCAAACUGAAAGUCGGUAUCAUGACAAUUGUAGAAUAGCGAUAUUUAACAAGUAAUCGAUGAGAAUAUCUGAUCUAUCAACUAGUUGGUAGUAUCGAGGACUACCAAGGUUAUAACCGAUAACGAGGAAUUAGGGUUUGACAUCGGAGAGGGAGCUUUCAAGAUGGCUACCAGUUCCAAGGAAGGCAGCAGCCGCGUAAAUUACCCAAUUUCAACAGAUACAAGAGGUAGUGACGACAAAUAACUCACGACAUGCGUAAGCAUGUCUUGAAGGAAUGAGUAAGAAGCAAAGAGUCUUACGAAAUCAAUUGGAGGGCAAGUCUGGUGGCAGCAGCCGCGGUAAUUCCAGCUCC
rnacentral:rRNA from 1 species